AUUGAACGCUGGCGGCAUGCCUUACACAUGCAAGUCGAACGGUAACGGGCCUUCGGGUGCCGCCGAGUGGCGAACGGGUGAGUAAUACAUCGGAACGUGCCCGAUCGUGGGGGAUAACGAGGCGAAAGCUUUGCUAAUACCGCAUACGAUCUACGGAUGAAAGCAGGGGACCGCAAGGCCUUGCGCGGACGGAGCGGCCGAUGGCAGAUUAGGUAGUUGGUGGGAUAAAAGCUUACCAAGCCGACGAUCUGUAGCUGGUCUGAGAGGAUGAUCAGCCACACUGGAACUGAGACACGGCCCAGACUCCUACGGGAGGCAGCAGUGGGGAAUUUUGGACAAUGGGCGCAAGCCUGAUCCAGCCAUGCCGCGUGCAGGAUGAAGGCCUUCGGGUUGUAAACUGCUUUUGUACGGAACGAAAAGCCUUCUUUUAAUACAGGAGGGUCAUGACGGUACCGUAAGAAUAAGCACCGGCUAACUACGUG
rnacentral:rRNA from 1 species